GGCGCUAUGGCCGAGUGGUUACAUGUAAGUAAGGCGACAGAUUCGAAAUCUGUUCCGGUUUCCGGGCGCAGGUUCAAAUCCUGCUGGCGUCG